GUGGGGAAUAUUGGGCAAUGGGGGAAACCCUGACCCAGCAACGCCGCGUGAGGGAAGAAGGUUUUCGGAUUGUAAACCUCUGUCAACGGGGACGAAAGAAAUGACGGUACCCGAGGAGGAAGCCCCGGCUAACUCCGUGCCAGCAGCCGCGGUAAUACGGAGGGGGCUAGCGUUGUUCGGAAUUACUGGGCGUAAAGCGCGCGUAGGCGGACCAGAAAGUUGGAGGUGAAAUCCCAGGGCUCAACCUUGGAACUGCCUUCAAAACUCCUGGUCUGGAGUUCGAGAGAGGUGAGUGGAAUUCCGAGUGUAGAGGUGAAAUUCGUAGAUAUUCGGAGGAACACCAGUGGCGAAGGCGGCUCACUGGCUCGAUACUGACGCUGAGGUGCGAAAGCGUGGGGAGCAAACAGGAUUAGAAACCCCGGUAGUCC
rnacentral:rRNA from 1 species